GGUGAAAAGCACCCCGGAAGGGGAGUGAAAUAGAACCUGAAACCGUGUGCUUACAAGUAGUCAGAGCCCGUUAAUGGGUGAUGGCGUGCCUUUUGUAGAAUGAACCGGCGAGUUACGAUUUGAUGCAAGGUUAAGCAGUAAAUGUGGAGCCGUAGCGAAAGCGAGUCUGAAUAGGGCGUUUAGUAUUUGGUCGUAGACCCGAAACCAGGUGAUCUACCCUUGGUCAGGUUGAAGUUCAGGUAACACUGAAUGGAGGACCGAACCGACUUACGUUGAAAAGUGAGCGGAUGAACUGAGGGUAGCGGAGAAAUUCCAAUCGAACCUGGAGAUAGCUGGUUCUCUCCGAAAUAGCUUUAGGGCUAGCCUCAAGUGAUGAUUAUUGGAGGUA
rnacentral:rRNA from 1 species